GAUGAACGCUGGCGGCGUGCCUAAUACAUGCAAGUCGAGCGAACAGACGAGGAGCUUGCUCCUCGGACGUUAGCGGCGGACGGGUGAGUAACACGUGGAUAACCUACCUAUAGGACUGGGAUAACUUCGGGAAACCGGAGCUAAUACCGGAUAAUAUAUUGAACCGCAUGGUUCAAUAGUGAAAGUCGGUUUUGCUGUCACUUAUAGAUGGUUCCGCGCCGCAUUAGCUAGUUGGUAAGGUAACGGCUUACCAAGGCAACGAUGCGUAGCCGACCUGAGAGGGUGAUCGGCCACACUGGAACUGAGACACGGUCCAGACUCCUACGGGAGGCAGCAGUAGGGAAUCUUCCGCAAUGGGCGAAAGCCUGACGGAGCAACGCCGCGUGAGUGAUGAAGGUCUUCGGAUCGUAAAACUCUGUUAUUAGGGAAGAACAAAUGUGUAAGUAACUAUGCACGUCUUGACGGUACCUAAUCAGAAAGCCACGGCUAACUACGUG
rnacentral:rRNA from 1 species